rnacentral:ncRNA from 1 species
GCAACGGUUCGUUUAACAGCGAUUAAAUGGGAAUCGAGUGCAAAUCUCGAACAGUCGCGCUGCUGUGAUUCUCUUUAUGGGUUUGUUCAAUAUAUGCCACUGCAUGUUUGUCGGGAAGGCAGAACAGAUUGAGGAAAGUCAGAAGACCAGCCUUGUCUUG